GAUCCUGGCUCAGGAUGAACGCUAGCUACAGGCUUAACACAUGCAAGUCGAGGGGCAGCAGGAAGAUGUGCUUGCACAACUUUGCUGGCGACCGGCGCACGGGUGAGUAACGCGUAUCCAACCUUCCCUAUAGUAGAGAAUAGCCCGGCGAAAGUCGGAUUAAUGCUCUAUGUUUUCCAUUGAUGGCAUCAGAUUUGGAACAAAGGUUUUCCGCUAUAGGAUGGGGAUGCGUCUGAUUAGCUGUUGGCGGGUAACGGCCCACCAGGCAACGAUCAGUAGGGUUCUGAGAGGAACGGUCCCCCACAUUGGUACUGAGACACGGACCAAACUCCUACGGGAGGCAGCAGUGAGGAAUAUUGGUCAAGUGGGCGGAAGCCUGAACCAGCCAAGUAGCGUGACCGAGGACGACUCGCCCUAGUGGGUUAGUAAACUGUCUUUUAGUAGGGGAAUAAAGUGAGGUAUGCAUACCUUUUGUAUGUACCCUAUGAAUAAGGACCGGCUAAUUCCGUGCCAGCCGCUGC
rnacentral:rRNA from 1 species